GAGACUCUUCAGAGUUCCAAGCUUGGCUUAGGAUCUCCUAAGGUCAAGCUUGAGGGGGAGUGUUGAACUGAAGAGAAGAUAGAGCUUGUACAACAAUAGGGCAAGCUCAAGCUUGAGGGGGAGUGUUGAACUGAAGAGAAGAUAGAGCUUGUACAACAAUAGGGCAAGCUCUAGAAGAUGUCCAGAAGAGUUCAAUCAAGCUUCA
rnacentral:lncRNA from 1 species